rnacentral:misc_RNA from 1 species
UAAUAAGUGUUUUAUGGCACUUUUUAAAUCCAUAUCCACCUUGUGUGCAAUGUCAGUCGAUCUUCUUCAUGGAGAUCGACCAAACAUCAACCUUUAUCUUUUAACUCUUUGUCUGAAAAUAUUAUGAAUAAACAAUUCAAAUA